GACGAACGCUGGCGGCGUGCCUAAUACAUGCAAGUAGAACGCACAGUUUAUACCGUAGCUUGCUACACCAUAAACUGUGAGUUGCGAACGGGUGAGUAACGCGUAGGUAACCUGCCUGGUAGCGGGGGAUAACUAUUGGAAACGAUAGCUAAUACCGCAUAAUAUUAAUUAUUGCAUGAUAAUUGAUUGAAAGAUGCAAUUGCAUCACUACCAGAUGGACCUGCGUUGUAUUAGCUAGUAGGUGAGGUAACGGCUCACCUAGGCGACGAUACAUAGCCGACCUGAGAGGGUGAUCGGCCACACUGGGUCUGAGACACGGCCCAGACUCCUACGGGAGGCAGCAGUAGGGAAUCUUCGGCAAUGGACGAAAGUCUGACCGAGCAACGCCGCGUGAGUGAAGAAGGUUUUCGGAUCGUAAAGCUCUGUUGUAAGAGAAGAACGGGUGUGAGAGUGGAAAGUCCACACUGUGACGGUAUCUUACCAGAAAGGGACGGCUAACUACGU
rnacentral:rRNA from 1 species